ACAGGAAGUAGGACAGAGCAAUGGAGGGAAGCCAGAUUUAAUGUCAGAAGUCUGGACCAUCAAUUUUAUCCCUUCCCAUUGCCUCCUUUUAAAUUUUAGUCAAUUCAAUAAAUAUUUUCAACUCCUCGUCUGUACCAGGCACCAAGCCACAGAAUGGAGUUCUGGCAAUGAACACUGCAGACAUGGCCGCCUUUAGCCUCAUGGAGCUUAGGGUCUGGGAGCAUUGUCAGUUUCUGAAUCCUCCAAGUGCUAAACUAUCUUCUCUCUUCAAAUUAGAGAAAAGAAAUGAGACAGCAGGCCUGCUUCUUUGAGUGUUUUUUUCUUUUUUGUUUCCGUUUUCUGACAACCAUACUUCACGUCUGACAGAGGAAAUGAUUCUUUUUGUCAGUGAUAAAUUUAUGAGUUUUGACUGUUUGUGAAGUUCCCUAAUUAAUUCUUUAUAGACUUCUAUUGGCAACUGAAUUUGUGUUUUGAGUUAAAAAUGGGAGUUCAGAUGAAUUACAGUUGAACAUUCUGCUCCCUUUGAAGAGCUCAUACUCCACAUUCUACGCUGUUAAUCUCUCUGCUUACUGAGAGGCACCGUUUGUCUUGCAGUGACGCACGGUGGGUGGUUACCAUGGCAUAGGAAAACAUUGCCAGCGCUGGCCCUGUCGUCAUGGAACCCCUGGGCCAUCUCCUGAGAAACUUGGCAUCCCUCUUCAGGAAGGAGCUUCCUGUGUUUUCUCUGGGAACUCACCUGUUUUCCACUCCAGACUCUCCAAGAUAUGCAGAGCUUUGGGCCAGGAUCCUACAGCCACGGGUCAUGCAGAGCCAGUUGGCCACAUCCUUUGGGCCAAAUUUGGUCCUAACCAGGUCUUACCACGGUAACUGCUAACCAGUCCAUCUUCAGUUAAUAUUUCAUGCGUAAGAUGUUUCAUGAAGUAACUGAAUGGGCUAAUGGGUUGUUCACUGGAUAAGACUCCCAGAUACUCCCUUUCAUGCCAUUCCCCAGAAUUCCUUCACCUCCCAGUGCUGUCUGUAAGGGUGAAGAUACUCCAUUUUGCCCCAUGCUCUUUGCUGUGCCCCAGAUAGGCUCAAACAUUUUUCCCUUUUGGGGAUUUUGCAGGUAGGAAUUGUUGAACAUCUUACCAUUUAAUCCAGAAGUUAUGUCCUUUAAGGAAUCGACCCUGAGCCUGUGAGUUUUACUUUGGGUUGGGGGUGAAGGAGUGGACCUUGCAGCAUUCAAGGUCAUCCAAGAUCAUCCAGUUAAGGCCCCUAAGGUCACUACGGGGGGAAAAGCCUGGUGAGGGAAGAGAAAGCAUUAGGGGGAGCUGCACCGUGCUGAGAAAUAACACCACACAGAAGUCUGUGUUCUAAUCUCAGCUCUGCUUUGCAUUACUGUGUGACCUGGAGCUGAUCACAGCCCUCUGAGUCUUAAAGGGGUUGGACAAGGCCAACUAAACAUUAGAAACACCUGAAAGUGCUGGUUAAAAGGAAGAAUGCAUGAGCUUCACUCCAGAUUUACUAUAUCAGAAUUUCCAGGGUCAGGGUCCAAGAAUCUGCAUGUUUAAUACGCUUUCCACAUGAUUUUUCCCCCCUCUGGACUUAAGAAAACAAUGGGCAAGUCAGCUCAUGAAGAACUUUUCAGAUAUUCAGACUAUUAUUCUGAGAGAGAAAAUAUUGGCAGAGAACAGAUGGGAUUUUUCUCAAGGAAAAGAAAUGGAAAUCCUACAUCUUGCAAGAAAUAGAAAAAAAUAAAUAAACUGUUUGAAGAAGAAUCACAUCAGGCUGGCAGGAGAGAGCCUGCGGCUCGGUGUCUGACCCAGAAUGUUAAAGCCAGCCUGGCUUGGCUCCAGGAUAAAGGACACUCUGUCAGCCUCUCCACAUUGAUUCAUCUCCCCAGCCCCAAGAUCAGGAGAGCAUUCUGUUCCUUGAAGCAUUUUAUGACUGUAAGUCAGAAGUGCUGCAGUUUUAAUAAAAAGCUGUAUUGUCCUGA
ensembl:lncRNA novel transcript